GCGGGUGGUGAGGGAGGGAAGCAGUGGAGGGAGAGACUAGGCAGGUGUUAAGCUCAUACUGUGUGAGAGAGUGAACGAGAAAGAGGGAAUCCGGGAGUGAGAGAGAGAGGAAAACAGUGAGGGCAUGGUAAAAAGGCUAAAGCGCUAACUGAAUAGAUAGAAGGCUGGAGGCAGACGACACAUAGUGGUGGUAGAGAGAGAGAGAGAGAGAUUGUUGUAAGACUAAGAAUUUCAAGAGAAGCAGACACAGACUCCCAGAGAGAGAGAAAGAGACGUAAACACCAUGCUAAGGAGGAAGAGGAGUGUGUCCUUUGGAGGGUUUGGAUGGAUUGAUAAGAGUACGGUCAGUGCACUCAGAGCACGGAAGCAGGAGAGAGAGCUGCUGACCAUCUCUAAUGUUCCCCUGGCAGACUGCCCCCCCUCUCCUCCGCGCACUGCACCCCCCACCAUGAAGUCUGCCCAUUUCUUCGACAUGAUGGAGAAGAUGGAGCAGGUACCAGAGGUAGCAGAAAAAACAGUGGCUGGUCCUCAGAGACUGAAGGAUGACUACAUCCCAUACCCCAGGAUAGAGGAGGUGCUGGAGAGGGGUGGUCCGUAUCCCCAGGUGAUCCUGCCAGAGUUUGGGGGAUACUGGAUUGAGGACCCUGACGCCCUCGUCCCCACACCCCCUUCUCAGUACCCCAGCCAGUGUGACAGGGGGGACGAUGGAGGGGGAGGAGAAGGGGAAGAGGGAGACGCUGCCCUAGUGGGUUAUGGGUACCGGCUGGAGAGUAACGACGCAGCACGCGCCUACAGGAAGCACUUCCUGGGCAAGGACCACUUGAAUUUUUACUGCACGGCCAGUUGUCAUGGCAACCUCAUUCUGUCUGUGAAACAUGAGGAAGUGAAGAGUCAGGAGUAUCUACAUAUCAUCCUCAGGUCUAGGAUGAAAACAAUGUAUGAUAGGAUCUCUCUAGCAGAAGUUCCUGAGCUGCCUAGUGUCCCUCAACUGGCCAAGCUGCUGUGUGAGGAUGCUGUUGGUCUCAGAUUCACUCCAGUUCUGUAUCCCAAGGCCUCCCAACUUAUAGUGAGCUAUGAUGAACAUGAGGUGAACACCACCUUCAAGUUUGGGGUCAUCUACCAGAGGUUUGGACAGGUUUCGGAGGAAGAGUUGUUUAGAAACAGUGAGGAGACACCAGCCUUCACUGAGUUCCUCAGUUUACUGGGAGAGACUGUAGACCUACAGGACUUUAAAGGGUUCCGUGGUGGUCUGGAUGUGUGUCAUGGUCAGACAGGUUCACAGUCGGUCUACACAGACUACAGAGAACAGGAGAUCAUGUUCCAUAUCUCUACCAAGCUGCCCUACACAGAGGGAGACAGGCAACAGCUCCAGAGGAAGCGACACAUAGGAAAUGACAUCGUAGGAGUGGUGUUCCAGGAAGAGGCCACACCCUUCGUAGCAGACAUGAUCGCCUCAAACUUCCUCCACGCCUUCAUACUGGUGCAGGUGGACAACCCCUGUACCCAACAAACCACCUACAAGGUGUCAGUCACGGCCCGAGAGGGUGUACCUUCAUUUGGCCCGCCCCUCCCCAGUCCAGCAGUGUUUAAAAAGGGUCCAGAGUUCAGAGAGUAUCUUCUCACUAAGUUGAUCAAUGCAGAGAAUGCCUGCUACAAGAGUGACAGAUUCGCCAGGCUGGAGGAGCGAACGCGGGCGGCCCUGCUCGACGGUCUUCAUGACGAGCUGCACAGACACACUCAGCGCAUGCUGGGAGUGGGCAUCGGCCCCGAGGAGGAGCGGGCGGAGAAUGGACAUGGCCACGGAGGACUGCUGGAGUCCAUCAAGAGGGCGAUGCGAGGAAGGAGUGUCUCCAUGGAGAUGAUGGCAAAGGGUGGAGGAGGUGGCCUGUCCACCAGUCUGAGUGGAGGGGUUCUGCUCCACAGCAGCUCUGAUGCAACUAAUGUUAAGUCUCCAGUGAAACGUCGCUCUGGUCUUUUCCCUCGUCUGCUCAGUAUAGACAGCCAGACAGAGAGACAUAACCACAAUCAUCGCAGUCUCCAUAGUGACCAGAGAAGCUUUGAUACUGGCCACCCCACGCAGGAAGUGAGGUCAGAGACCCUCUCUAACCCCAGCUCUCCAGAGGCCUCCCUUAAGGAAAGGCCCAGCAGUGUAAAGUUGAAUGAGUGCAGUGCAAGCAGGACAAACGUCUCACACUCCUCAUCUAGUACAAGUAGCUUCAGCAGUGCAGCAGGAGAGGGAGAGGCCACCGACACUGACCCUAACACCCUGGCACCCUCAGUGUUCCUUUCUGUUCACAGCCCCUCCCUCACUGUUGAAGGUCAGAGUUCAGGGACCCCUGUCAUUAUGUGUCGCAGCCCCACUGGUAACCACGACAACAGCUUCCUAGUUAAAGAAUAAGAGUUCUCCUAGAUCCAACUUGAAGUUCCGUUUUGAUAAAUUGAAUCACUCUGCGACAGGACACUAGGUGACAGAUGUGGGAUGAGAGAGAGAUAAAACAGUUCAAACGGGAUGGAGGUAUGAAGGGCAGUACAUUAGGGAUGGGUGGAGAGAAAUAACAAGAGAGAGAAGGCCCCUCCAACCGGAGGAAGAGGUUGAAAGAAGAGAAAUGGCUCAAGAUGGAUGAUUCGGUACGCACACUACAGUGGAAGUUUUAGGCCCAGGCAAAGCUGUGCUCUGCCUAGUGGAUAAUGGUCCUUUCAUAUUCAGCUAUCUGUGUGGUUGUUUCCUGAACACUGAUCAAAGUUCUAUAAGUGGCUCUAACAUGGGUCCUUGUCAGCAACUGCACUGCAUUCAAUACCACACAGAUCUGUAAGGCAUAGAUUCAAUUCAACAUCACUAAGGCCAGGAGUUUUUCCUGACCAUGUGGUCUAACCAGGAAAAACUCUGGCCAUAGGCAUCACCAAUGGAGGCAAUAUUGAUGUCCAGACCGCCAUUCUUGGAAAGGGAAAAAUAAUCACGGCUUGUCAUACAAAUGUUACAAUCUGAGGGUCCCUGGAAUUUCUACACUGAACAAAAAUAUAAAAGCAACAUGUAAAGUGUUGGUCCCAUGUUUCAUUAGCUGAAAUAAGAUCCCAGAACGAUACGCACAAAAAUAUUAUUUCUCUAAAAUGUUGUG